rnacentral:rRNA from 1 species
AUGCUAUGCAGGGCGGGCCGCCGAGAACAUCGAGGAGUUGGGCCAGCUGGCCAUGGACGACCCCGAGCUGCUCCGACCCCGACCAUCGUCAGCAGCAGCCAGGUCUUGGCUGGAAUAGGAGUGUCGCGGCUGCGUUUGUGGGAACCAGCAGCAGCCAAGUGUCCGGGAACAGCAGCGCCGGCGGCCAGCGUCUUCCUCGCCGGGAGAUGGAAGGGCGGGUCCUCGCCGGAUCCUGCGGCGUCGGCGGCUUCCUCGCCGAGAGAUGGAGGGCGGGUGCUCGCCGGAUCUCGCGGCACCGGCGGCUACCUCGCCGGGAGAUGGAGAGGCGGCUGCUUCACCGGGACAUGGAGGGGCGGCUGGUCGUCGGAUCCCGUAGCUCCGGCAGCGAGCGGCUGCCUCGCUGGCCAGAUCGAGCGGAGUCAGGAGCAGAGGAGUGACGGUGCGGUGCAGGGUCAGGGGCAGCAGUUGACUUUUUUUAACUGA